rnacentral:tRNA from 1 species
UUAUGUAAAGUGUGAAGCACAUUAAAUUUUCUGUUUAAAAGAGAGUAUUUCUACAUCAG